rnacentral:rRNA from 1 species
CACGUAGGGGGCAAGCGUUGUCCGGAUUUAUUGGGCGUAAAGAGCUCGUAGGUGGUUCGGUAAGUCGGGUGUUAAACCCCCAGGCUCAACCUGGGGACGCCACUCGAUACUGCUGUGACUAGAGUCCGGUAGGGGAGCGUGGAAUUCCUGGUGUAGCGGUGAAAUGCGCAGAUAUCAGGAGGAACACCAGCGGCGAAGGCGGCGCUCUGGGCCGGUACUGACACUGAGGAGCGAAAGCGUGGGUAGCAAACCGG